rnacentral:rRNA from 1 species
CACGUAGGGUGCGAGCGUUGUCCGGAAUUAUUGGGCGUAAAGAGCUCGUAGGCGGUGUGUCGCGUCGGCCGUGAAAACCUGCAGCUUAACUGUGGGCUUGCGGUCGAUACGGGCAUCACUGGAGUUCGGCAGGGGAGACUGGAAUUCCUGGUGUAGCGGUGAAAUGCGCAGAUAUCAGGAGGAACACCGGCGGCGAAGGCGGAUCUCUGGGCCUUACCUGACGCUGAGGCGCGAAAGCUAGGGGAGCAAACAGG